UGUUGAAGCACCAGUUCUCGUACGGUCACCGAAGUUAAGCAACUUUGAGAUUGUUCAGUACCUAGAUGGGUGACUGCUUGGGAAUACCAGGUGCUGU